UUCAUAGCGACCGUCGAUUUCAAACAAGGUACUUUGAUCUAACUUCUGAUUACGCUCUAUGAUUAGGGUUCGGCGGGAGGUUCCCCUGCAAUGCCCUAAUUUCGGAAAUCGCUGUAUUUAAAUGGCAAUGCCUAAGUUCUAGCAGCGUCGUCCUAUCGGCGGAAGCGUUUGUCCCUAAAUCGGAGAAGCAAGAAUCCCUGUCUCUGAUAUGCUGGAGUUGUUGUCUAAAUUCUUUGUUCGCAUGGCCAUUAAGAUUGAGAAGCACAAAUUUUGAUGUAUUCAUGUUUGCUUUUGGGUAUAGGAUUCUUUCUGUCGUGAAAUUUGGGGAUUUCUACGCCUAAAUAUUGUAUAUUUUCUAUGUGUAUUAGCAAGGACAAUGACAUAUUUUUUGCCAUUUAACUUCAUAGCACUGGUACUGAGGCUCCUUGAUGAUUACUGUAUUUUUGGUGCCUAAUCUCGAUGUGCUACAAUAAAAGGGAUCCGCUUUGCAGCUUAAGCUUCUAAAUGUAUUCGCUGCCUGUAAUGCCCUUACAUUCACAAAUGGCAUUAAAUAUAUCUUCCAAUCUUUUUAUUGACCUUAUGAGUGCCUUUAUGAUUGAUGACCCACCUCCCACGAAUGUGUUUUCCAAAUGAAGAUGCGAUAGAGAUAACCAUCCAAUCAUGAAGGGGCUUGUGAGAAGGUCAUCGGUACACAAAUCUCCUUUUUAUUUCAACCCGUUUGAUGAUUUAGUUAUCUGUAUAAUGUUGUGACAUCUGGUAGCUUAGAAACUUCUAAUUAAUUUUUUUAGGUUUGCAGCUCAAUGGGUCUUAGGCCAUUAUUUCUUGCUUCAAUCCAUGGGCUGUCAAGUUUUCCUCAUUGUUGUUGAUGAUUGAUUGUGGGUCAUAGUGUACUCUCAGAAAGAAAAAUUCAUACCCAAUUUUUCUUAUUACUAUUAACACUGUGUCAUAUAGAGGGUGAUUACAAGAAAUUUGAUAUCUUCUGACUGUACGUAAAAUUCAGUCUUUCAAAAGUUUAUUAGUGUUGUAAUUUGUUCUGUUUUUCAAUAUUCAAUGUGGAUAUGUUUGCUUAUGUUUUGGUAAUAUUUGUUUAGACAGAAGUUUGUAAGUAAUUUUGCACGAGUACUGUGGCUCCAUCUUAUUGAAUAUCCAAAGCCUAGUAUAGUCAUGCACACAUCAAAGAUGGCAUCUGCGACUCCACGUUGCAGCUCAAACAAUAGCAUAUUCUGCUUCCUGUAAUGCCAUCCAUUAUACUUUCUAAAUUAUAUUAAUGCCAUCUGCGGGACAAGAUCUCAACUAUCACAAGUUCCUUUCCACUUGGGGGCAUAGUAGUUUAUGGGAGGAAUUAUGACGUAAUGGUUUAUUUCAAUUAUGGGAAGGGUUGAACUUUGAUUCAUUGGAUUCUUUUUUAUACUUAAUUAUGAGGCAGAGGAAAGUAGAACCAAAACCAAAAGAAGUCAUCAAAAGAAAGCUCUAGUGAGUUGAAGCCAUAUAUUCAUUUCCUUUCUUAAAGGAUGACUUACCGUUAGGUUGAUGUCCACCGAAAUUGCCACAUGUUUUUAGUUUCCAGCAUUAAGAAUGGUUGAGGGAGAAAUGACCAUGUGGCUGUAAUUCUUCAACCCAUAACAGGCUCAAUCGUGGGAAAAAGGAAUCAUGGAGGAUGCCCAAGUUUCAUUAGGGGAAAUUUUUUUACAUCUAUUGCCUUAUCUUGGUCUCUAAAUCCGAACUUUGUUCUUUCUUACUAUUUGAUAUUAUGUAUACAUCAUACCAGAAUCUGAAGUUGCCUUUGCAUUUUGUUUGUUAGAUUGUCAGUAACUUGGCUAUUUGUUGACAUUUUUUUCACAGUUCA